UAAUACCAGCUCCCCGAGUGGUGGGGGUGAAUAUUGGGCCUAAAGCGUCCGUAGCCGACUCGGCAAGUCUUCCGUUAAACCCAACGAUCUAAUCGUUGGACUGCGGGAGAUACUGUCGGGCUAGGGGGCGAGAGAAGCCGACGGUACUCCCGGGGUAGGGGUGAAAUCCUAUAAUCCCAGGAGGACCACCAGUGGCGAAGGCGGUCGGCUAGAACGCGCCUGACGGUGAGGAACGAAAGCUGGGGGAGCGAACCGGAUUAGAUACCCGGGUAGUCCCAGCCGUAAACGAUGCAGGCUAGGUGUUGGAGCGACCACGAGUCACUCCAGUGCCGCAGGGAAGCCGUUAAGCCUGCCGCCUGGGGAGUACGGUCGCAAGACUG
rnacentral:rRNA from 1 species